rnacentral:rRNA from 1 species
CAGUCGCCACGGUAAUACGUAGGGUGCAAGCGUUAAUCGGAAUUACUGGGCGUAAAGCGUGCGCAGGCGGUUAUAUAAGACAGAUGUGAAAUCCCCGGGCUCAACCUGGGAACUGCAUUUGUGACUGUAUAGCUAAAGUACGGCAGAGGGGGAUGGAAUUCCGCGUGUAGCAGUGAAAUGCGUAGAUAUGCGGAGGAACACCGAUGGCGAAGGCAAUCCCCUGGGCCUGUACUGACGCUCAUGCACGAAAGCGUGGGGAGCAAACAGGAUUAGAUACCCCAGUAGUCCCUGUCUCUUAUAC